rnacentral:rRNA from 1 species
AGAGUUUGAUCCUGGCUCAGAUUGAACGCUGGCGGCAUGCCUUACACAUGCAAGUCGAACGGCAGCACGGGGGCAACCCUGGUGGCGAGUGGCGAACGGGUGAGUAAUAUAUCGGAACGUACCCUAGAGUGGGGGAUAACGUAGCGAAAGUUACGCUAAUACCGCAUACGAUCUACGGAUGAAAGUGGGGGCUCGCAAGACCUCAUGCUCAUGGAGCGGCCGAUAUCUGAUUAGCUAGUUGGUGAGGUAAAGGCUCACCAAGGCGACGAUCAGUAGCUGGUCUGAGAGGACGACCAGCCACACUGGGACUGAGACACGGCCCAGACUCCUACGGGAGGCAGCAGUGGGGAAUUUUGGACAAUGGGGGCAACCCUGAUCCAGCAAUGCCGCGUGAGUGAAGAAGGCCUUCGGGUUGUAAAGCUCUUUUGUCAGGGAAGAAACGGUGAAGGCCAAUACCCUUUGCUAAUGACGGUACCUGAAGAAUAAGCACCGGCUAACUACGUGCCAGCAGCCGCGGUAAUAC